AGAAUCAACGCUGGCGGCGUGCCUAACACAUGCAAGUCGAGCGCGAAAGGGGAGCAAUCUCCGAGUAGAGCGGCGAACGGGUGAGUAACGCGUGGGUAAUCUACCUCCGAGUGGGAAUAACAGCGGGAAACUGCUGCUAAUACCGCAUGACAUCGUCGAGCCCUCGGGCCUGACGAUCAAAGCCGGGACCGCAAGGCCUGGCGCUUGGAGAGGAGCCCGCGUCCGAUUAGCUAGUUGGCGGGUAAUGGCCCACCAAGGCUCCGAUCGGUAGCCGGCCUGAGAGGGCGGACGGCCGACGACGUGGACUGGAGACGACGGCCCGAGACUCCGUACGGGAGGCGAGCGAGGUGGGUAAUUUUCGACAAGU
rnacentral:rRNA from 1 species